rnacentral:tRNA from 1 species
GAGGGCAAAGCUCAAGUGGUAGAGCGCAUGCUUAGCAUGCAUGAGGUCCUGGGUUCAAUCCCCAGUACCUCCU